rnacentral:lncRNA from 1 species
CUUUCAGCAGUGUAUCUGAAUUAAGAGUGCAAUGAAAUUCAAACCAGGUGUGGGAGGCUGCAUCACCAGUCACUUCCCUGCUGUUGCUGCUUUCCACAUCUGAUCUUAAUUUGAUCCUUUCGUUCUGUACCACUGUGCUAUAAAGUCACAGUUGGAUAUUUCAUGAGAAUCUCAGCAUUUGCCUUUCCUUUCCAACACUAGAAACAUUAAAAAUGAGGACAAAAACAAGAGGAAAAUAUUAACUCCAUGACAGAAAUAUUAUAAUUUUGUUCAACAGACAGACUUCAGAAAAUGGCUUGGAGAGAACAACAAUAUGGCCGCUGGCUUCUUUGAACAAAUAAGAUCCCUCCUGUGGAGUUGUGCAUCAUACUACCUUUCAGGCACUUGGACAUUUGUUGUGCCAUGCGACUUAAAGCAAACACCACUGCUGGGAGAAAAGAUAGCUGAAUCACCAGGGCACUAGCCUGCUUCUGCUCUUACUGAUAUUUGUACUUGUGAACUUGAUGAAUCUACUUCUUUCCAUUCUGACUAUGAAUCAUAAGCAAUAAUUUAGUUUAUAGGCAGUGUUUUCUUGUGCCAAAUCUAAAGUUUUUACAAUGAUCUCUUCUAGCUUCAUGAUGUCAUGUAAUUAUGUUAGCAGUAGCUGAGACACACCAGUUAUUAGACUGCUAAAGGAAGAAGGAAAAAUGUUCUCCUGUAACAUAUAUCAUAAUCUUGGGAUUCUUUCAGAAUUCCAGUCAGUUCUUGCUAUAAUCAGACUAACAAGUGUAGCAGCUCUCUUCUUAAGUAUUAUUUAAUUUUAAACUGCAGUCAACCAAGUGUUUUUUCUCAGUUCUCUUCUGUCUGUAGACUUACAGGUCUGUGCCUGAAGCUUUUCUUAUGAAGUUCCUUGCUCGGUAACACCACAUUAAAUCUAGUGCAACUGUACAACACCGUUAUAACUGAAAUGAGAAUAUACCUUCUAGUGUCAUGCAAUAUUAUUAAGUUUUAUGACUUUAGGGUUCUUUUUCCCAUGAAAAAUCCCUUUCUAAAGGGAAUCAAUGCAAUGAUAUUAGUUCAAAAAAGCAUUUGCAAUGUGAAGCAGUAGUCUAGUGGACAAUAGUAGCUUCACUGAAAUUCAUACGCUGUGAGACGCUACAAUUGAUGUACUGGAUUCUGAAGGGC